rnacentral:misc_RNA from 1 species
GAAAUGCGAUAAGUAAUGUGAAUUGCAGAAUUCAGUGAAUCAUCGAUUCUUUGAACGCACCUUGCGCUCCUUGGUAUUCCUUGGAGCAUGCCUGUUUGAGUAUCAUGAAAUCUUCAAAGUAAAUCUUUUGUUAACUCAAUUGGCUUCUACUUUGGUAUUGGAGGUCUUUGCAGCUUCACACCUGCUCCUCUUUGUUCAUUAGCUGGAUCUCAGUGUUAUGCUUGGUUCCACUCGGCGUGAUAAGUUAUCUAUCGCUGAGGACACUGUAAAAGGUGGCCAAGGUAAAUGCAGAUGAACCGCUUCUAAUAGUCCAUUGACUUGGACAAUACUUUUAUGAUCUGAUCUCAAAUCAGGUAGGACUACCCGCUGAACUUAAGC